rnacentral:piRNA from 1 species
UGGUGGAUUAGAUACUGGGGAGCAGUGA